AAAAGAACCAUCAUUUUCUUUUAAAGUUUUUCAUUUUCUCCUCUUUUUCAGAGAGUUGAGAUAUAAAAAUAGAAAUAUAUUUAAUGGUGCAAAGUGCCUAGAGGCUUACAGCCUGCAAUUUAAUGUUUUAUUCAUAGUUUUCCUCAAUAAUUAUAGUUAUUUAUUGAUCUUCAUACAAUACUUUUCAAAAUUGCUUUGAAUUUAAAAUUAAUGACAUGAAUUUUUUUUUUCUGGAGUUUCAGGAUCAGUUUUCCAGUCAUAAAACCAGAUAUCCAUAUGCAAUUCACAGUGAGCAUUUUUUGCAGAGUGCUCAGCUAUAUGAAUUAUUUAAUACUUUCCUUCUUCUGUUUCUGUUUGCAAGGACUGUUUCCUCUCUGUAGACAAAGUAAUGCCCUUGAUUUGCUUUUCAUACAUAUUUAGUCUAACUCAGAUACUGGUUUUGUGAGCUACCUUCUGCUGAACGAUGAACAAAAUAGCUGCGAAGGUUAUAAAGCAGAAUCUCCCUUUGCAACUGAACCUGCUCUGCGAUAGUUAAUUACCACUGGAUUUUCCAUUGGACAAACCAAAUAGUGUUCUGGUGCCGGCAAUGAACCGGUGACUUCUCGUGUUUACACGGCACUGUUGCUGUCUCUGCAUCUCCCAAGUGCUCUUACGCUACGUUUUCCUUUCCAGCAGAACUCAAGCCAUUUUAGUCGACUGAAUUCUUCCUUGAAUCUACAGAAGCGUAGCUAUCUCAUUUUUGUCUAUUUCUGAUAACAGACCACAACAUACAAGUUUGAUCACUACAGUAAAUUGGCUAAUGUACAUCAAUUUGUAUCAACAUAAUCUCUGUAUACUUUUCCUGACACAAUUUAUUUCCUUCUUUGUCUUGCAAACUGGAAUCAGUCUUUCUCAUCUGCAGAUGGUGUAUUUCUGUCCAGUUUUUCUUUCUUUACAUCUUUGUAAUAUUCCUUCUGCUUGUAUUGCUUUUUUACAAGCGUUUUCCUGCUGCGUAUCGUCUUUUUAAAUAUUCUGUUAAUUCCUUCAGUCUGUCCAGUUUGAAAUAUUUCUAAAAGUUUCCUGUACUGCUGUGGCCAUGCAGUUAUUUGGGAGUUCCUGCUCACGGCUGAGCAGUAAUAUACUUUCUAGCAGACCCUCUAGUCAGAGGUACGCUUCUCUGAUCUUCGGUUACCCUUCAGAAAUACCCCAAUUCUGCAUUGGGAGCUUGUUAGUACAUGUCUGCUCUUCAGUGUAGACAACUGUUGAGAGGCACCAAAUGAAGUGUACAACCUGCAUAAAAAAUUCCUUUUCUGUGUCAGAUAUGAAUGCAUAUUUCAUUGCAAUGCAACUACCUUAGCUCAAGAACACAGUUACUUCAAUGGUAAAAGCAAAGUGAUUUUCAAAUAGAAUGAUUUCAAAAGAGUCUGUGUUUCCACUCAAAACUGGUCAAUUUAACACCAUGCUCAUGAGAUUUGUGGCUGUCUCUUCCCUGAUCUAGCCUUGUUAUGUAACUGUCAGAAAUUAUAUUUUACAACUAUUAGUUGUUAAAAUACAAAUUUCAUUUUAACAGAAUAUCUGUAUAUGUCAGAGUAACAAGGUGAUAGGAAACUAUGAGGUAUUGAAUAAUGAUACUAGAAAAGUCCAUGUAAAUUUUUUUGUCAGUCUUAGUAGUGAUGUUCUUGGGAUUGUGUUGGGUGAUACCCUGUGAAGGUCACCAAAGCUAAGGAUGCAUUUCUUUGUCAUAGGUAAGACUCCAGAUGGACAUCUUGGUUUCCUCCUAGAGCCACAAAUGGUACAUCACAGCUUGCAAAGGUCAGUAUUUUGCCUGUUUUGGGAUGAGUUCAGAAUUUGUACCUCAGCUAGAAAAUAAAACGUUUAUCAUUGGCUCAUUUCUUGGCUUUUUCUCUUGGAGGCUGCUAUUAGUGAAAACUUUCUGUAGUUGAAGUGUUUCUGUGCUUCUAUGAAACAUAUUGAACACUCUAAAAAGCAUGAAAAUAACUUGUGGCCUUAAGGAUGUGUGCAGAAAGAAGCCUGUCUGAAGGUCUGUACCGCACGCUGAUAUUUCUGGGUUUAUUUUGGGGUUUUUUUGGGGUUUUUUUGGCAGUAAAAGAUAGUUUUAAGAAAUAGUUGCUUUUCAGCAGAGAUCGUAAAUAGUAAUUAAAAUUAUUGGUUUCAAAAGCAAAUGAGUUGGAAGGAAGGGUGUCGAAUAUUGGCAACCAUUCAUAAUGUGGUAACAAGAUAACAUUGUUCAGGCUGUAAUCUUUUAUGUUCCUAAAAGCAUGGAUAGAAAUUCAACAUUAUAUUUCCUUUGGGCUUCACUAUACUCUUUGACCUUCAAGCUUCUGUCCUCUCUGCCUGUGGCAAUACACACUUGGGAAUGGAAAUGAUGUAUUGAUGACAACAGCACUCACCCUUUGUUUUUAGAUUGUUUUGCCAGUAGUAAGGAGUUUAACUUAAAGGAAUCUAUUCUCAUUGUUAGGGAUUAAAUGCUGAAAAUGACUAAUGGCAAAGCAGCAUUAGGAAGUUUAAAUACAUGUAUCAUUAGUAGUUUGCUAAAGUGCUUUUUUUUUUCAGCCACAAACUGCAGUAGCAUUAGGUCAGGUGUGCAUUUCCUCUCUUCAACUUCAUGGGAAGCUUUGUAGCCAAGUUAUGAUGUACAAGGGACUGUAAUAUUAAUAGAAAUAUGAGUGGAAUAAUAGACCCCAACUUAGCUGAGCACUGGAAUUUGAAUUAGGCUCUUUGGCAGAAGAGCUUAGAUGACUCUUGUGACCCUUCCACUGAUGCUGUGACAAGUCUGAUAUCAUACUCAACCUCAUCCUUACCCUGUACUAUGUCUCAAUUUUGCAUUUUUCCUAAGGACACAGAAAGGAAAAAUCAGAAAAUCCUUGUGUUUGCCUCAUAAUAAGAAAACCAUUUUGAUAUAUUUUGCAUGAUACAAGCUGUCAAGUAGUGUUACCAAGCAGUGAGUACACAUUCAUUUAGCUGAAAUUUCCGUAGAUUUGAAAUUAAUAGUGAAAAAUGUAGUAAUCAAAAAGUAAAAAAAAAAAAACUAGCAACUUCUUUACUUGGUAUUUAAUUCUGUUAUGAAUUACAAAACUUUAGUGUUAAUUUUAACCUUCUGCAACUAAUACUGUUAAGAAUUAAUGAAUUAUUUGUAUUUUUUUUCAAAUUAUCCUAUAUGUAAUAAAAGUUAAGGAUUUUAUAAAUGA